UCCUAUGGCCAUACCACCCUGAACAUACCAGAUCUCAUCUGAUCUUAAAUGCUAAGCAGGGUCAGGCUUUGUAAGUGCUUAGAUGGGAGACUGCCUGGGAAUACUGAGUGCUGUAGGCU
rnacentral:rRNA from 1 species